ACUCCCUUUCAUCUAGCAGCAGCCUUUUGACACAAUUAUAGCCCAUAAGAAGAAAGGUGAAGAAAGGUGAAGUUGCUACUGGAGCUUCUCGGAGAGUGUUCAGGCGAACAUGUUCUGUAGACUAGAGCUCAACCUCGUCCUCUGUCAUCCCCCUUUCCUGCCUUCAGUCUUGCCCAGCAUCAGGGUCUUUACCAUGAGCUAGUUCUUCACAUCAAGUGGCCAAAGUAUUGGAGCUUCAGCUUCAGCAUCAGUCCUUCCAGUGAAUAUACAGGAUGGAUUUCCCUUAGGAUUGACUGGUUGGAUCUCCUUGCAGUCCAAGGAACACUCAAGAAUAUUCUCCUGUCUUUCUUCCUGGAGGAAUUUGAUGCCAGUGGUGGGGCAGCCACAGCUCAGUCAUAAAGGGAUAGAACAAAGGCCUAUAAAUACAAAGAUGGCGGACCAGAACAAUUGAAAGAGACUGGAUCCUUUAUGGCAUAAUUAGCCACCAUUUAAGUCCCAAGUGACUGCUGUAAGAAUUCUUUGAUGUCCAACUCCUUUUUAAGCCAGGAAGUCUCCCGACUUACAACUGCUUCGACACUGCCAUCCAACCCUGCAGCUCAUAUUGCUAAUGCUCGUGACUCAGACUUCCAGGAAUCCUUCAGAGUAAUGUGGUCAUCUCACUUGGCACACUGAAGUGUACAUUAUUAGUGAAAUAUACCUUAAUUAUUAAGACAGAUUGUACAUUUUACUGUGAUAGACACUAAAGUAGGAUUCAUUAAAGAUUCACUAACAUGGACAAAAUCAUUUAAAAAUGUAAUGAACAUUCAAGAGAUUGAAAUUGAGUAUAAAGAUGAUAAGAGUAUCUGACAAAUGAUUUUUUUUUUUUUUGCUUUACAGCCACCUAAAUUAAAUACCUGAAAAUGCUUUUGAUGCUGUUGAACUUGGCCACAAAAAAGCAGUAUUGAAUAUACAGGAUGGAUUUCCCUUAGGAUUGACUGGUUGGAUCUCCUUGCAGUCCAGGGGAUGCCCAAGAAUCUUC
ensembl:lncRNA